rnacentral:rRNA from 1 species
AACGAACGCUGGCGGCAGGCCUAACACAUGCAAGUCGAACGAGAUCUUCGGAUCUAGUGGCGGACGGGUGAGUAACGCGUGGGAACGUGCCCUUCUCUACGGAAUAGUCCCGGGAAACUGGGUUUAAUACCGUAUACGCCCUUUGGGGGAAAGAUUUAUCGGCAAGAGAUCGGCCCGCGUUGGAUUAGGUAGUUGGUGGGGUAAUGGCCUACCAAGCCGACGAUCCAUAGCUGGUUUGAGAGGAUGAUCAGCCACACUGGGACUGAGACACGGCCCAGACUCCUACGGGAGGCAGCAGUGGGGAAUCUUAGACAAUGGGGCAACCCUGAUCUAGCCAUGCCGCGUGUGUGAUGAAGGCCUUAGGGUCGUAAAGCACUUUCGCCAGGGAUGAUAAUGACAGUACCUGGUAAAGAAACCCCGGCUAACUCCGUGCCAGCAGCCGCGGUAAU